rnacentral:rRNA from 1 species
UACAGAGGUCUCAAGCGUUGUUCGGAUUCAUUGGGCGUAAAGGGUGUGUAGGUGGCGCCGUAAGUCGGGUGUGAAAUUUCGGAGCUUAACUCCGAAACUGCAUUCGAUACUGCGGUGCUUGAGGACUGGAGAGGAGAGUGGAAUUCCCGGUGUAGCGGUGAAAUGCGCAGAUAUCGGGAAGAACACCCGUGGCGAAGGCGGCUCUCUGGGACGGUACUGACGCUGAGACGCGAAAGCGUGGGGAGCGAACAGG